GUGCAGUCCUGUGGGAUGGUCUGUGGUCUGCUCAGGAAGGAGAGUAGGGGGUUCUGAUUGGCCCCAGAAAUAUGCCCCAUCUUUCUUCUGUAGUUCAGCAGUAAUUCUCUAGGGUGAGGGUGUACAGAGCCGGAGCUUUCCACCUUGGGCCCCGACAUCUCAGGAUGCGCUCCCUGGGUAGUUCUGUUGGCAGCUUUAGCUUGUGAGCUCACCAAGCUUUGUGAGGAUUUGUCAUGGCUUCAAGGGGUUGGCUCAGUACAUGAGUAGAGUCUGGAGUUUGGGGCCUGUGCCUGCCGGUGCCGUUUGAUGCUGAAAGAGAUACCACAUCUGCAAUGUGAGUCCCUCCUCUUCUCUGCCAAGGCAUGUCCUCACUAGGGCUGUUCCCCCUGAUGCAGAAAAGACAUACCGCAUACCUCAAGAUGCCUUUAUGGGCCAUUGGCCCCUGGCCUGUCUUCUCUGGGAAUAUUGUGUCUGGAUGGGUGUCAUUGACCUAGCCCUGGUUUGUGAGUGCUAGAAAGGAGGAAGGGAAGAUGAGGAGAAGGAGAAUGGAGAACACACACCUAAGAGUUUUUCCUUCAAAUUGGAAUAAGCUCCAGGGGCCCACCCACUGCUAUCGUUAUGAUGUCACAGAAAGGAACAGCCAGAGCAGGGGGAAGAAAUUCAUGAAGUCAUCUGGCCCAAAGCCCUCUUCGAUCUUCCAUACCACCAGGAUGGCAGAGGUUGGUGCAUGUUUCUGACAACUGAGCUCUUGAAUACCCGAGACCACACAGCAGCAACGCUGGGGGACGAACUCACUGAGCUGGUGCCCAGCUGCUCAUCUGGGAAGUUCUACCGGGUUCUCACUUGUAAUCAGCAAACCCAGACUCCUCACCUUAGAGACUAUCAGACCAAGCUUCUCUUGGGAUCCUUGAAGAUGGCUGUCUUGCUGUGGGCUCCUGCUCAAACUCUCAAGCGACUGGCAUUUCCCUGGAGAUUUCUUUAGCACUCAGCACCACGUCCUCGGUCCAGGCGAGGCAGACCCAGCCAACUCUGAAGAAGCUUUGCAUGUUUUCCUUCGCUUAACUUCCAUUUUGCGAUUGGCGUCUCCAUGAAUGGAGUAACCGUGAAACCAGAGCUCAACAGAAGAACGUCGAAAGCUGUCGAGCUACUACUGUGCCACAGGACAGGGCAGGCUAUCGGUGAAACUGUGCUAUAAGGGGGUUUAGGCCCUGGGGGGUCCCCACCCCACUCCGUUUUGCCUCUGCUCCCCUCCUCAGGCCUAUGCUUAAGACCCUUAUGCUGUUUUCUUCUCCACUGGGACUCCUGUAAUACACCAUCCCCUGGGGCUUACUCUGCUUCAGCCUUUCCAGAUCACCCUUGUUCUUUCAAAGCUCAUCCUGGGUUCCAUUUCCUCUGAGAUCUGCGGCUCUGUGUCUUUGGUACAAUUAAUUCGGUCCACACUUAAUGCCCAUCCUGUGCCUGGAUCAGUAUAAGCUUGUGAAGGAAAAGCGCUUCUUGGCCCUGAUCUGGCUUUCUAGGAUGAGCGUGGCCAAGACGACAAACCAAACGAUGCAAAGCCAUUAACGGACAGUCCCUUUUAAGUGAUAGAUUUGCAUGUUACCAGGAGCUUACUGAAGUCAGUGGCUUACCUUCAAAGCAUUCUUAUUGUGACAAACAACUUUUAAAAGGUUUUCUCUUUUCUUAACCUUACAAGCAGGAGAGCAGUACUUAUCAACGGCAGAAAACUUGGAAAGUGAAAGAAUAUAUACGUAGGGGACAAACUUGUUGAUGAUCUCACUACCCAGAGGCAAGCCAGCGUUGGAAUAUUUUUCCUGUCUUUUUUCCCCGAUGCACCGGAGAUCCUGUGUUGCUAUAAUUUUGCCUCUACCACUUUUGUUAGCAAGCACUCUAUCCCAACCAUUUUGCAAUGUUAUAAAACACACUGAAGAGUGAUUCUAAUGGUAGGAGUUUGUCAGCAAGUAGGAGCGCUGAAUUUAUUUGGCACUGAGACUUGGGGUAGCCUCUCUAAUAACACUCCCAUUUCUGCAACUUCUAAGACAAGUGCUGCCAUAGUGUAUUUGUAACUCAGCCGAUCUGCUCAGCCCUUCUCUGAAGACACCGCAUCCUGUGCCGUUAGGUGCGAGCAUCUCCAGUCUCCAGAUUCUCCACUUCCUCCCUUCCCCCACCCCGAUUUCCUUCAUCUCCAGCGAGCGAUAAUAUCUUUCAUUUGAGCUUCUCUUUCUGCCUCCAAUGACUGCCUCCCCUGAUGAAUUCUCUCUGGGUGACUUUGGCAUUUGCAUAUUUCCUCGCUUGGAUAUUCUGAGAUGUUGGAACCAGAGAGCAGGUUGAUGCGAUCAGGUACUUAGCUGAAUGAGGCUUUCUCGGGAACUGCACAAAUAUUUGGAGUCGGGUGUGUGCCAAUAGGCAAUUAAUUGAAAUGUGGACACAGCAAGCUUCUGGAGGAAGGAAACUGAACUUGAGAAAUUAGCUGUGGGAAGCAAUCCUCCGCAAGAUACAAAACAGUAAUUUGGGAAUUUCCUUUACCUCAGACUGAAAUUGAUUUGGUACAGAAAGAGGAAAACAAAAACAAAAACAAAAAACCCAAACCCAAACAAGGUUGAUUCCUGCAUCACCAGAGCUGGAAGGCAUUGUCAGAGAAUGCUGGUCUGACCCUCCUGGGGAUGGAGGAAAGAAAGCCCAAGGUCAGUGGCAAGUUGGGGCAAAUUCAGGACCAGAAGCAAGAUGUCCUGACUCCAGCCCAGGGCACUAUCCAUUUUAUAAGCUGACUGUCUACCUGGAGAGCCGGAUUAUCAUAUCAGGAGCAAAAGGGCGAGGACUGUGAUUUAAGCAUUUCCCCGUCACCGAUGACUUUGUGAAUACAUUUAGGAAAAUCCGUAACAAAACCAAGGUACCCGCUGCUUGUGGCCUUAAGGACGGAAGCACAUCUAGCCAACAUUUAUGGGGCUCCUGCUUCAUGUGUGGCUGUCCGCUAGGCACUAAGAAUGGAGGACGUUGCAAGCGACGCUAUACGGAGAAAUCGCAUCCCAGAGUGACAACGGAGGUUUCCCUGGGAUGUGUUUUGUGCUGUUUGAGCAGGAGUGAAAGCAUGUGACUUUUUAAAGGGAAACCUCAGGAAGGGAGAGUGGAAGUGGAGACGUUGCCAUAAUGCUCAGAAGUCACGCUCAGCGGAUUUGGAGAGUCUUCCUGAAGCUUCUGCUGGGAGGGGAGAGGGAGAAGCCACCGUGGGCUUGUGUGACUUUGGACACCGUGUUCUAAGGGAAGCCGUGUGACCCUUUCCCACUCGCUCCAGCCCAGCCUCACGGCAUCCAGCAGCCACCACUCGCCUCCUGAUUGCCAUGCCUUUCUGCAGCCUGGAGAUUUGCAUUGUAAAUGCUGUUUGUUAGGCCCCUGAAAUAAUAUUAAUCACCGUAAAACAAUUACGUUGCAUAAUUUGUACAUAAAAAAGAAAGAGUGAACCUUUUGCUUGAAUUAAUAUUUCCUUGUUUGUAUCUUUCUCAUCCUCACAAAUAAUGAGACCCCUGUCUGCCCUUCUAGGUGAGAAUGGCUUUGGGAAAAGAAAGGUAUCUAUCUUCGAAUGGCUUCUUGAAAUGAUGCACAGUUGUCCGGAGCCUGGUGGCCUAUGCAGUUUGGGGUGGAAGAACCACGGACCCUGGGGAAAGGGGCAUCUCGACACCCUGUUGCAAGAGGGAAGAGACCCUGGAAGUGAAGAGGAGAAGGCCUUGGGAAGAUAGAGACACACGAUACAGCCACAGCCCAGGGAUGCCUGGAGUCACAGGAGCUCAAACAGGCAAGGAAGGAUUCUCCCCUCCAGCCUUCGGAGAGGGCGUGGCCCUGCCUAGGCUUGAUUUCGGAUCUCUGGACUCCAGAACUAGCAGAGAAGGGUUUUCUGUUGUUUUCAGCCACUACGUUUUGUAGCAGUUUGUUACAACAGCCCUAGGAACUCUCUCACACACACACACACACACACACACACACACACACACACCCCAUGCCCUCCCCCUUCCCACAACCUCUCAGGGAGAUUCACUGGCUCGAAUUUUGAGUUGAUGAUAAUGUUCUCACAAGCCACUGCUGGAGGUCCCCAGAGCACAUCCAAGCUUGUGGGACUGCCGUGCUGUGCUGUACCUGGGUCCCAGAUGAUUUCUCCCAGGAAGACUCUCCUUCCCAGGAAGUCACAUACCAGGCAUUGAGCACAGAGAAUUUCAAGGUCAGGUCCCCCUGACAUACCGUUUAGGACUGGAAAUAAGGGCCUGCGUAUGAGGCAGAAUUGGAGAGGACUCUGUAACUACCAUUUUGGACUCUCUUCUUUACCCUCUGCUUCUUUAUCGAAUCUCAAAGGCUCAUGACUAGAGUUAGCACCCAUACUCCAGGACAACAUACAUUUCAAAACUAACAGGACCCUAUAUAUGGAGCACAUAUGUACCAGGCGCUGUAUUAAAAUUUCUACAUUGGCUAUUUCAUUUCUCCUUGCAGAAGUCCCGGAGGUGUGUGUGGGUGGGCGGUUAUCCUGAUUUUGCAGAUGAGGAAACUGAGGCCCAAGGACAUGAGGUAAUACUCCCAAAGUCAGGAGGCUGACAGUUCGCAGAGCCAGCCUUUGAACCCUGGGUGUCUUUGACUCCACGGCUCAUACCCACAAGCGCUUUUCUACUAUUUUGUUCUUAGGAAGGCAGCCCGGUGCAGGGACACACAUCUGUGCCUGUCCUGGGCGCUCACUUUCAAAAGAAUAUGCACAAUUUUUGCAUUUGAGGCCAUUUGACUUGGUUAAUUCGUUCACAUGGCACAUUUUCUUUCCGUAAGGACUUCAGAGGGCAUUUGGGGACAGAUUCCAAAUUGAACUAUACCCUCCACAAGGUGCUUUGUGGUUUGGUUCGGUUAGGGCUCUGCCUUCACGCCAAAGUUCACACACCUGAAUGUUGUAAGAAUUUUCAUGGUCUGGCUGCUGCCUGCCUCCCCAGCCUCGACUCUCGUAAGCCUCUCCUCUCCACCUCGUGUGGGUGACCUCAUAGCUGUUCUGAGCUACUUUCAGUUUUUGUGUGUCUCAUCCUCUCAACAGACUCCUGUCCUUUGCCCAAGCUGUUUCUUCUGCUCGGAAUUCCGUCUCCCUACUGCCCUCUCCACUGGUCACCCCAUCUCUAUCCUUUGACUAUUUAACUUGGGUAGCUCUAUUCAUCGUCUGGGUCCCAGAUUAGAAGUCAGCCACUCCAGGGACGUCUGGGUGGCUCAGUCAGUUGGGCAUCUGACUUUGGUGCAGGUCAUGAUCUUGUGGCUCAUGAGUUCGAGCCCCGCUUUGGGCUCCAAACCUGCUUCGGAUCCUCUGUCCCCCAUCUCUCUGCCCCUCCCCCACUCGUGCUGUCUCUCUUUCAAAAACAAAUACACUUUUUAAAAAAAAAGAAGUCAACCACUCCAAGAAGCCUUCUUGGAUCACCUGAACUUGCCCAAGAACCUCUGGUGGGACUCUCAAAGCAUCCUUGAUCUCCCCACCUAUCACGUUGUAUGAUAAUUUUAUUAUCUGUAUCCUUCACCUUGCUGCAGGUUGAGGGCAGGGACAGGGUCUGCUUGAGUCACCGUGUAUGCCUGGCACCCAGCCCAGCACCCGGCACAGAAUAGUGAUUCGAUAGGUAUUUGUGAAAUGAAUGGAGUUAAGAAGGCCAGAAAUGACUUCCUGGAUCAUUAGGCUCAGAGUUAUGUCAUUAAUUAGGACACUGAGGAAUGUUAUAUUAAAGGGCAUAGUUAUCUGACCAGUUGUCAACCUCAAAGGUUAAGGAUGUUCUCAGAAUAUUCUAGAUUCGUUUUGCAAGCUCCUAGCAACAACUUCAUCUAAAUCAUUUGGACAAAUUUUAACAUUGAAGGAGAUGGCCUUAUUUGAUGUGUUCAGUUCAUUUCUUCUUUGCAACUAAUCUAUUUAGUAUGACCACUUAGAAUACUAAAUUGCAAAUUGUUGACCACCAAAUACAUAAGAUAACAGUUUCAAUGUUGUUUCUAAAUUGAUUCCUCCAAGUGUCAAAGGGAACCCCCAAGUACCUAAGGUGGGCUGUCUGUCGCCUUUUACUAAGGCCCCUGUGAGAUAAUAGGAAAACAUAUAUAUAUUGGUCUCUGCCCCUGGUUCCUGCUACCCAGCUCCCCAAAUCCUUGUAAUUUCCUAAGGGAUGAGGGUACUAGGAGAGUCUUUUGUUCUAAUGAGGCAGCUCUGGUGGGCUCCUGGUUGGCUCCUGGGUGGGGCUGGUCACCAGAAAGACCAAGUCAUGAUUAGAAGCUUGGAAUUUUCAGCCCCCUACUGUCCAGAGAGGAAUUAGUCAUUGGUCAUGCCAUAAAAUUCCCAAACAAUGGGGUUUGGAGAGCUUCCAUGCUGGCAAGCACACCAAUACUGGGAGUAUUGCGAGGUACACGCCCCAGCCCCACAGGGACAGAAGCUCUUGCACUCGGGACUCUCCCAGACCUCGCCCUAUGUAUCUCUUCAUCUGGCUGUUCAUCGGUGUCCUUUAUCAUAUGCUUAAUAAACUGGUAAAUGCAAGUAAGUGCUUCCCUGCGAGCUGCUCUAGCAAAUUAAUCAAACCAAAGGAGGGGGGUCGUUGGAGCCUCUGAUCUAUAGCUGCUUAGUCAGAAGCACAUGUGAUAACCAGGGCUCUGGAGUGUGUAUGUGGGAAGGCGGGGGAACAGGCCAGUGGGAAUGAGCCUUUACCCUGUGGGGUCUGACACUCUCUCCAGGUAGACAGUGUCCAGAUGGAGGUGAACUGUAGGACACCCGGCCAGUGUCGGAGACCUGUUUGUUGUUGUGGGGGGAAAGCCCCACAUAUCCGGUGAGCAGAAGUAUCAGAAGUGUGUGUGGAGUGAAGGAAUGCCCUUGGGACAGACACACAGUAGUCAAGAACUGGUCUUUCUCUGCCGGGAAAGAGGAAGACUGUGUCUCUCUUGGGCAUCUCCCUGGUGACUAUGGAUUGAGCUCCUGGCCCUUCUGAACCUUCUGACCACGCUCAGUGCGGGGGGUUUCAGUCCACCCCCUGCUCUUCCUUUGCUCAACACAAGGGCAUUGGUAUCAUUCUUUAGGUUCUUUCUGGCCUUCCUGAAGGGCAGUGACUUCAUUCAGGAUUGCAGAGCCUGGUUGGAUGUGAUGGGCUUCAACAGCUGUUGCACUUGGUGACUUAAAGACCAAUGCUCUGUGGCUGGUGCUGGAGAAAGAGCUGGAUUAGGGGUCAGAGGACCUGGGUUCUCACCCGGCUCUUCCUUGUGGCCUCUCUUAGUUAAUGUCUGCUGAAGGGAUAUGUCUUGUGUCAGUGGGUGGGCUUGUUUCCCUUGCCUUUUGAAAACGUGAAGAACAAGACCUCUCCAUCCCUUGACUUUCUUUCAAAUUAUCUUCCCCUCCCAUCUUAAAACAGUGCGAACAAAGGGCAAACUCAAUGGCAUUGUCAGAAUGGAAAGGCCCCUUCCAAUUUUUUGGCUUCUUUGUCUGAAGUCUUGUCUUCAGUCAGCACCAAAAUAUCCUUACAAACAGAGAAUGUGGGGAGUCCACACUUGAAACUAAUGGCCAUGGAAUCUGAGAAUGGUUGAGUCAGAGGGAGGAAGGAAA